CCUACGGGGGGCUGCAGUGGGGAAUAUUGCACAAUGGGGGAAACCCUGAUGCAGCGACGCCGCGUGGGUGAAGAAGUAAUUAGUUAUGUAAAGCCCUAUCAGCAGGGAAGAAAAUGACGGUACCUAAGUAAGAAGCACCGGCUAACUACGUGCCAGCAGCCGCGGUAAUACGUAGGGGGCAAGCGUUAUCCGGAUUUACUGGGCGUAAAGGGUGCGUAGACGGAGGUGCAAGUCUGUUGUGAAAGGCGGGGGCUCAACCACCGGACUGCACUGGAAACUGUACGGCUGGAGUGAAGGAGAGGUAAGUGGAAAUCCUAGUGUAGCGGUGAAAUGCGUAGAGAUUAAGAGGAACACUCGUGGCGAAGGCGGCUUACUGGACUGUAACUGACGUUGAUGCUCGAAAGCGUGGGGAGCAAACAGGAUUAGAUACCCCGGUAGUU
rnacentral:rRNA from 1 species